ensembl:snRNA U1 U1 spliceosomal RNA
UUACUUACCUGGCAGAGAAGACACCAUGAUCAAGCAGGUGGUUUUCCCAGGGCUAGGCGAUUUCCCCAAACAUGGGAAACUCGACUGCAUAGUUUGUGGCAGUGGGGGACUGUGUUUUUUGUUUAAUUUUUUU